rnacentral:rRNA from 1 species
AAUGGCUGCAGUAAUUUGACUGUACAAAGGUAGCAUAAUCAUUAGUUUUUUAAUUAAAAGCUUGUAUGAAAGGUUGGACGAAAUAAAUUCUGUCUCUUUUUAAUAAAAUUAGAAUUUAAUUUUUAAGUUAAAAAGCUUAAAUAUUUAUAAAAGACGAGAAGACCCUAUAGAGUUUUAUAAUUUAAAUUUAUUAAUUAAUUUAGAUUUAUUAAUUUUAUUUUUUUUUAAAUUAUUUUAUUGGGGUAAUAGAAAGAUUAAAAAAAUUCUUUUUUUAUAAAAUCAUUAAUUUAUGAAAAUUUUAUGAUCCAUUAGAUUUUGAAUAUAAGAUUAAAUUACCUUAGGGAUAACAGCGUAAUUUUUUUUAAGAGUUCAUAUCGAUAAAAAAGUUUGCGACCUCGAUGUUGGAUUAAAGAUUAAUUUAGGUGUAGAAGUUUAAAUUUUUGGUCUGUUCGACCAUUGAAUCUUUACAUGAUCUGAGUUCAAACCGGUGUAAGCCAGGUUGGUUUCUAUCUUUAUAAGAAUUUUAUAUUUCAGUACGAAAGGACCAAUUAUAUUAUAUAUUUAUAUUUAAAUUAUUGAAUAU